AUUGAACGCUGGCGGCAGGCCUAACACAUGCAAGUCGAACGAGUGGCGGACGGGUGAGUAAUGUCUGGGAAACUGCCCGAUGGAGGGGGCUAACUACUGGAAACGGUAGCUAAUACCGCAUACCAUCUGAUGUGCCCAAAUGGGAUUAGCUAGUCGGUGGGGUAACGGCGCACCUAGGCGACGAUCCCUAGCUGGUCUGAGCGGAUGACCAGACAGACUGAAACUGUGACACGGUCCAGACUCCAACGGGAGGCAGCAGUGGGGAAUAUUGCACAAGUGUCGCAAGCCUGAUGCAGCCAUGCCGCGUGUAUGAAGAAGGCCUUCGGGUUGUAAAGUACUUUCAGCGGGGAGGCGUUACUCGCAGAAGAAGCACCGGCUAACUCCGUGCCAGCAGCCGCGGUAAUAC
rnacentral:rRNA from 1 species